rnacentral:rRNA from 1 species
GAUGAACGCUGGCGGCGUGCCUAAUACAUGCUAGUCGAGCGAACAGACGAGGAUCUUGCUCCUCUGACGUUAGCGGCGGACGGGUGAGUAACACGUGGAUAACCUACCUAUAAGACUGGGAUAACUUCGGGAAACCGGAGCUAAUACCGGAUAAUAUAUUGAACCGCAUGGUUCAAUAGUGAAAGACGGUUUUGCUGUCACUUAUAGAUGGAUCCGCGCCGCAUUAGCUAGUUGGUAAGGUAACUGCUUACCAAGGCAACGAUGCGUAGCCGACCUGAGAGGGUGAUCGGCCACACUGGAACUGCGACACGGUCCAGACUCCUACGGGAGGCACCAGUAGGGAAUCUUCCGCAAUGGGCGAAAGACUGACGGAGCAACGCCGCGUGAGUGAUGAAGGUCUUCGGAUCGUAAAACUCUGUUAUUAGGGAAGAACACCUGUGUAAGUAACUAUGAACGUCUUGACGGUACCUAAUCAGAAAGCCACGGCUAACUACGUG